AUUGAACGCUGGCGGCAGGCCUAACACAUGCAAGUCGAGCGGAUGAAGGGAGCUUGCUCCUGGAUUCAGCGGCGGACGGGUGAGUAAUGCAUAGGAAUCUGCCUGGUAGUGGGGGAUAACGUCCGGAAACGGGCGCUAAUACCGCAUACGUCCUGAGGGUGAAAGUGGGGGUUCUUCGGACCUCACGCUAUCAGAUGAGCCUAGGUCGGAUUAGCUAGUUGGUGGGGUAAAGGCCUACCAAGGCGACGAUCCGUAACUGGUCUGAGAGGAUGAUCAGUCACACUGGAACUGAGACACGGUCCAGACUCCUACGGGAGGCAGCAGUGGGGAAUAUUGGACAAUGGGCGAAAGCCUGAUCCAGCCAUGCCGCGUGUGUGAAGAAGGUCUUCGGAUUGUAAAGCACUUUAAGUUGGGAGGAAGGGCAGUAAGUUAAUACCUUGCUGUUUUGACGUUACCAACAGAAUAAGCACCGGCUAACUACGUG
rnacentral:rRNA from 1 species